rnacentral:piRNA from 1 species
UGGUUGUGUCUGUGCCGACUCGGUGU